UGUCUUGUUCACAAAUUUUUAAUUUGCUACCGUGCUGAUUCGUGCCUCUGAGUCUGACUUCUCCAUGGCAACACUGGCUGAUGCUUAUGGGUAAUGUAGUAUUAGACCCUUUCACCAUGCCAUGAGAGACAAGACCAGAUUACUCAGAAACAAAGGGAACAAAAAACAAUGGAGAGUCUCAUGUUUUUAAGUUUGAGU